rnacentral:rRNA from 1 species
GACGAACGCUGGCGGCGUGCUUAACACAUGCAAGUCGAACGCUGAAGACCUGGCUUUUGUUGGGUUGGAUGAGUGGCGAACGGGUGAGUAACACGUGAGUAACCUGCCCUCUUCUUUGGGAUAACGCCCGGAAACGGGUGCUAAUACUGGAUAUUCACUGGCCUUCGCAUGGGGGUUGGUGGAAAGGUUUGUUCUGGUGGGGGAUGGGCUCGCGGCCUAUCAGCUUGUUGGUGGGGUGAUGGCCUACCAAGGCUUUGACGGGUAGCCGGCCUGAGAGGGUGACCGGUCACAUUGGGACUGAGAUACGGCCCAGACUCCUACGGGAGGCAGCAGUGGGGAAUAUUGCACAAUGGGCGAAAGCCUGAUGCAGCGACGCCGCGUGAGGGAUGGAGGCCUUCGGGUUGUAAACCUCUUUCGCUCAUGGUCAAGCCGCAACUGUGGGUUGUGGUGAGGGUAGUGGGAAAAGAAGCGCCGGCUAACUACGUG